UACGUAGGGGGCAAGCGUUGUCCGGAUUUAUUGGGCGUAAAGAGCGUGUAGGCGGCCACAUAGGUCAGCUGUGAAAACUCGAGGCUCAACCUCGAGACGUCGGUUGAAACCGUAUGGCUAGAGUCCGGAAGAGGAGAGUGGAAUUCCCGGUGUAGCGGUGAAAUGCGCAGAUAUCGGGAAGAACACCCGUGGCGAAGGCGGCUCUCUGGGACGGUACUGACGCUGAGACGCGAAAGCGUGGGGAGCGAACAGG
rnacentral:rRNA from 1 species